UACGGAGGAGGCAAGCGUUAUCCGGAAUUACUGGGCGUAAAGCGUGCGCAGGCGGUUUUGUAAGUCAGAUGUGAAAUCCCCGGGCUUAACCUGGGAACUGCGUUUGAAACUACAAGGCUAGAGUGUAGCAGAGGGGGGUGGAAUUCCACGUGUAGCAGUGAAAUGCGUAGAGAUGUGGAGGAACACCGAUGGCGAAGGCAGCCCCCUGGGUUAACACUGACGCUCAGGCACGAAAGCGUGGGGAGCAAACAGG
rnacentral:rRNA from 1 species